AAGUAUGUCGUAGUACAAAAAAGCUAUACACAGUUUAAUUGAACUCUUUUAACGAGGGAGAUGAGAUAAGAUUAACAUCACCAAAACGCUAAGAAAAUAUCUCAAAAGCUUUCAACUAACAUUGAUUAUCAGCUUUUUUGUACGGAAAACAUAAAAUUUAAACAAUAUACUGUUUUCCUGCUACUAGCAAUACAUUUCAGUCAUGUAAUCUGCAACAGACGAUCAUAAAUAUGUGACGGAUUAUCGAUAAAGAUAUAGUUAGAUAGCAAAAGCAGCGGAAGCCCAAAUUUUCAAGCCAAAUGAGGGAACGACAGACAAUUGAAAAAGAACAUGUUUUUUAUUACCGCACGUACAUGUGUUUCACUAUGGACAUCUAAUAUUUUUGUGGGAUUUCAUCCAGCAGGUUGCCUUCAAAGAAUUUUUUAUAUAUUUUAGUUUCAUAUUUAUUUGGAUUCCAAUAAAAGUCUUACAAAUUUUA